rnacentral:rRNA from 1 species
UACGUAGGGACCAAGCGUUGUUCGGAUUUACUGGGCGUAAAGGGCGCGUAGGCGGCAAUUCAAGUCAUCUGUGAAAUCUCCGGGCUUAACCCGGAACGGUCAGAUGAUACUGCUUUGCUAGAGUGCGGAAGGGGCAAUCGGAAUUCUUGGUGUAGCGGUGAAAUGCGUAGAUAUCAAGAGGAACAUCUGUGGCGAAGGCGGCCAUCUGGACCAGCACUGACACUGAGGCACGAAAGCGUGGGGAGCAAACAGG